AAGUUUUCGCUCUUAGUGGGUUAUGCUAUGAUUUGAAGUGUAUGCAAUUGUAAUUAUGGGUUUUUGUGAUUUAAACUAUUAGGUAGAUACGCAUUAAAAUUUUCAGACUUUCUGGAUGUAGUCACUUCUUAUCGCUAACACGACGAUUGUUAUGAUGUGUAGUAUUUGUCACGAAUGUGUAAUAAUGCUUAGGGGGGUAUUGUGUUUGAGAACGUAUGUCAGUUCAGAUAGAAAUGUAAUGUAAGUUAAGCAAUUACAUUACAAAAAUUUUCUUUAUAAUUCCCUUAUUCAAUAAUUUUGAUGUUUUCUGGCAGGGUGACUGGAUAUCUUGGUUAACCAGAAUAAUAUGGUAAUGGCUUGUUCUUCUUUCCUUGUGGUUUCAUGAAAUGGAUGUCAAGGAGUAAAGGGUUAGAUUUGAUAAGUUGACUUUGUGGAUUAAUACAACUUUUUCCAGGUCAUAUCCUGAAUUGUACUACUGGUUUUAUUUGUUAAAUGAUCUGCAAUUAAUGGUUUAGACAUAGGUUAAUGGGAAGUUUGAAAACAUUCCACUGAAAGCUUUUUUGUGAAGCUGUCUGAUUUAUCCAGCGGUGUUUGUCAUGAUUGUUUCUUGCUUCCAAGAAUGUAAGUAACAUAUGAUGAUCAUGAGGUUUUCUUGUGAUAAUGGGUAAGAAUAUAUUUAUAAUUAUUGCCCUCAUUGUUCUUAUUUAACUUGUUGAGCAAGUCAACCAGGGUUGUAAAAGCUUUAUUACUUAAAACUUCCUUUUUUUUUUCCAGUGAUGUGGCAUACUUCAGGUACAAAUUAUCUGUGAACCUUGCUUUUCUUUACAUGAUGAAUGUUCCCCGAGUCCCUGAUUUUUAAAAUUUGUAUUGUUUGUGUUCAGUUGAUGAGAGUUAACAGAUCUUGAAUUUUUACUUGUUAGGAUGGCAGAAGCAUCCUAAAGUGAAGUUUCACUGUUCAUUUUGUAGUAAAUGGUGCAGUUACCACUGUUAAAGGGAUUGUAUCAAUAACAGGAUGAUUGUUGGGCUUCUGUUAAUAUCUGUUUUCAAAAUUUAGCUUUUGUGCUACAGGUAAUUUUGUAUAAAAAGUUUUUGUUUGACAAAAUGUCAUUUUUAUUAUGAUAUCCUACAGGUUGAAUCUUCCUAGAUACAGUAUAAUAGCACCUAACAUGUUAAUGUUUUAUGCUAAUUGUAAAAUCCCGUUUUUUCUAUUCAUAUUUAAGCUGCGGUUGUUUUUCCAAUUCUAUCUACCUCCAUUUCCAAUAGUUGCUAAAUUAAUUUAAAUAAUGAAGUUGCCUUUUUCUCAGGUUGGAACGCCAUACGUCCCAAGGUGAAAAUUUUUUUAAUAGUAUAUUUUCUGUGUGUUUUUAACUGAAACAUGACAUGAUUUGACGUUCUGCUUGAAUUAAUAUUUCUAUUCUAAUUUUUUAUUUGUAGCUACCAUUUGGGUCGUAGACUCCUACUUCGAUGGUUUGUUGUUUGCUAGUGGAUGUCCUAUUGUGAAAAUAUUGCUGCUGCAUUAACGACGCAUUUUCUGGUAGUAUUGUUGUAACGACCUAUGUUGAUGCGGUCUCUUAAACUUGUCAAAAAUACACACGAAACGACAAGUGAGAGCUGCUAAGAUUCAAUUUCAAUUUGUUGGAAAUUUUCGUUCUGUUCCGUUUUCAGUACAGUGUUCACGCUUUUCUUAGUACGAUUCUUUUAGGAAUGAAAUAACGGCAAAUAUAACUGUCAAGGUUAUCGUAACAAAACGGUGUGGUGAUAUGAUUACUGGCAGUUGGAAGAACGUCUGAAAAUUUCUCUAUACUUAGUUAUUCUAACAUGUUUCCGAAAUAAAAUUUCUAUCAGGGAUUUGUUUCAUGGGGUCAUGUUUCCCCAUGACUUGUGAUAAACUCGUGUGAAUUCUGAUGAUACUUUGUGUAUAACGUAUUUUUUAUUUCUAUGAUGAAUUAUUAAUAAAACGCAUUUCUAAUUAAA